AUUGAACGCUGGCGGCGUGCUUAACACAUGCAAGUCGAGCGAGAAAGCUCUCUUCGGAGAGUGAGUAGAGCGGCGCACGGGUGAGUAACGCGUGGAUAAUCUGCCCUGAAGAUCGGGAUAACAGUUGGAAACGGCUGCUAAUACCGUAUAAUCUGCAUAUUUAACUUUAUGUGGGAAAGAUGGCCUCUACUUGUAAGCUAUCACUUUUGGAUGAGUCCGCGUCUCAUUAGCUUGUUGGUGGGGUAAUGGCUUACCAAGGCAACGAUGAGUAGCUGGUCUGAGAGGAUGAUCAGCCACACUGGGACUGAAACACGGUCCAGACUCCUACGGGAGGCAGCAGUGGGGAAUAUUGCGCAAUGGGGGAAACCCUGACGCAGCGACGCCGCGUGUGGGAAGAAGGCCUUCGGGUCGUAAACUUCUGUCAAGAGGGAAGAACCCGUAGAGUAUUAAUACGACUUUGCUCUGACGGUACCUUUAGAGGAAGCACCGGCUAACUCCGUGCCAGCAGCCGCGGUAACACGGAGGGUGCGAGCGUUAAUCGGAAUCACUGGGCGUAAAGCGUGCGUAGGCGGCGUAUCAAGUCAGGCGUGAAAGCCCUCGGCUCAACCGGGGGAAUUGCGCUUGAAACUGGUACGCUAGAGUCUCGGAGAGGUUGGGCGGAAUUCCAGGUGUAGGGGUGAAAUUCGUAGAUAUCAGGAGGAACACCGGUGGCGAAUGCGACUUCCUGGACCAAUACUGACGCUGAGGCGCGAAGGCGUGGGGAGCAACAGGA
rnacentral:rRNA from 1 species